CUGGACAGUGAAUCGGUUCGCGCCUUUCUACAUUUGAAAAUAUGACCGUUAUUAUCGUUCUUUCUGUGAGUGAGGCGGCUGACUGUGAGCUGCUGCUAGUUGUAACUGCUCGGUCGGUCCCGAAUUAUUUUAUAUUUGCCUGUUAAUUUUUGAGCGAAUUUGAGUCGUGACAUGUCAAUGGAGAACAAAAACUGUAAUGUGAACACAAGAAGUGUCAGAUGUGUUCUGCGAGGUCCUGCAAACAUACUGGCAAAUUGAGAGAUUUUUCCACAUUUUCCUGAUAUGAAUCCCAUGGAUUAGAGUCAUCAAGGAUCCAGCUUAUUAUUGAAACAUUGGACAGUACAGAAAGCACACAAGUGGGAGAGAGUGGAGGGGACGGCAUCAGAAAGGACCUAGGGCUGGGACUCUUUCAAGGAUCACCUGAAGCACAACCACACUAUAUGCACGAGACUGUUGGUUCUAACAUUUUAGGUUCCCCUUCGGUAGAAAUCACAUUCCGCGUUCCCUGCGGUAAAAAAAAAAAAACAAAGUCCCCCCCCCCUCGGGGUGCCCCCUCUAACGCUGGUUCCUUGGAAUUGUCCUAACCUUCCCUGCCCAGCGUCCCUGGUUGCCGGUUCCAUUCUCGAACUGUUCAACACAUUUUCACUGCACAAAUGUACACAUCUCUUGUAAUGAGACACAUUACUAAAACAUGUUUUUUGCAGAAACUGUAGUUUUCCACCAAAAUAAAAGAUCAGCUGGUUUCAGUCAUAAAGGUACAAGGGUUUCUCUUGCAAGUGCCACACAAAAUAUGCAUUUAUAUGCACAAAU
ensembl:lncRNA